ensembl:lncRNA
CCGGCCUGGUGGUCCUACCUAGUAAUCCUACGUAGUGGUCCUACCUAGUAGUCCGGCCUGGUGGUCCUACCUAGUAGUCCUACCUAGUAGUCCGGCCUGGUGGUCCUACCUAGUGCAUAGAGGCAAGUUCUCUCAAACAAAUGAUGAUGUUCGGGACCUGCAGCCAAGACGCAGGGCUCAGAAGCUGCAGUUCCUCUCUCGGCCACUAGGCGCUGGAUGGAAGAAAAACAGAGUGAAAAAGAACCUUUUUUAUAGAACAAAGAAACAUAAUUCAUCUCUCCUGUUUUACUUGCAAUGUGGUGACCUGUGUUUCUUUUUGUCAGAGCUUUGACUCAUAGCUAAAUCCUUUAUUUGUCCCACAAAUUUGAAUUUGCAAAAAAUAUAUAAUUCUAACAUCAUUUUGUAGCGUUUUCUGCUGCAAUGGAUGAAUGGCUCCAACUGCAGAAGCGAAGCCUCCAGCAGUUCAUCUCUGUGAUGCCGAUAUUCACGUAGCUCAAGCCAACCUAAACGUACCGCUUCCCCUUCCAACAAAACCAGCUGGCAUAGAUGUUCACUAGAUUACCUAAGCUCAUCCCAUGAAACCCCACGGACUGCAUCACAGCGGAGGACUGCCGUCACACUGAGACCCCCCCUCUUUUGACAACGAGGCCUGGCUCUGCACGGCGUGGAGGGUCAUACACGCUCAGUCAUGACAGCCGGUGAUAAAUCAAUCAACAUAAUAAGGAUAGAAGUGGUCCGUUAAACACCGAGGAGCAGAGUGGGAAGAGAUUCACACAAAAAAACAAUGUGAUUCUACAUUUGAAGGUCCAGUUUACUCCCCAAUGAGGGACCCUCCCUCUUUGUGUACAGUUUGUAUAUUUAUAUUGAUUCUCCAUGUUGACACUGUGACUGCUCGUGUAUCACAGGCAACGCUGGUCUAGAAUCAAUGCAGAAUCUAUUGGACCCGCGUGUGAUGGAGUCACGUUCUCAGAACAUCAAGUUUAAAUAAGUAAGGAAAGGAGGAAGUACUAAAAGAUGGAGCGUUCUGCAGCGCACUGUAAUGUGAUGGAAAGUAAUAGUUGUUAAAACAAACACGUCAUUGAGUAGAUAUUUAGAUGCUGGUUGCACACUUCGUUUUUUAAUGUACAAAAUCUGGAAUGCGUAUAAUGUGUUACAAACAUGCAAUAAAAGUGCAUCUGUGAGAAGCACGUGUUCAGUCA